CUUGAAGCGUGUGCUCGCGCCGCGCACACGCGCACGCCGACAAGAGGCCGUCAGACUUGCCUGCUUGGGCGGGAAAAGAAGAUGCUUUGAGGCCGCGGCCUUUUAUCGAUAUAGUCCACCGACACCAUGAACCCCGGUGGACGUCCGCCGCCGAAGGCCGGCGUGGAGCGGAACCCCGCGGAGCCUUCGCCGGGGAAGAGAACCUCUCUGUGGUACCGACGUUCACUGCGGGGAAGCAACGACCAGCAGAGACAGCGGUAUAACUGCGACUCUCUGCCCAGGACAGUGAAGCCCAAACACCUCCUUGUUGACUACUCUGAUCCACAACGAAGCACAGUUGUCCUGGAAAAGGAAGACAAUGGAACAUUUGGGUUUGAAGUUCAGACCCAUGGCCUGCAGCUGCGGAGCAGCUCUGCAGUGGAGGCGUGCACGUUUGUGAGCAGGGUGGAAGACAGCAGUGCUGCAGAGAGCGCCGGCCUAACUGCAGGAGAUGUUAUCAUCAGCAUCAACGGGGCCAGCAUUGAAGGACGCUCUCAUCAGCAUAUUGCGGAUCUAAUCAGAGAAUCAACCAAUAGAUUAAAGAUGGAGACCGUGUGCGGGAGUGUGGUGAAGUGGAUUGAGCUGGAGAAGAGGGUGAAAAUGCUGAAGCAAUCAUUGCGUGAGAAACUGGUGGAGCUGCAAGCGCUUACGUUACAGGAACAAGGCCUACUUCAAGGUCACCCGAAAGAAAACAACCUCUCAACCGAUUCCUCCGAAGUCCCCGCAGACUUCCUCAGCCUCCGCUUCUCCAGCGACAGCAGCUGCAGGAGCGGGCUGACGGACGACAGCGACCAGGGCAGCGUCUUCGGCGAUCCCAGCUCGCCCAGCCCCUGCAGCGCAGCCAGCGGCAGCCAGGAGGAGCACUUCUUCUCCCGGAAGUUCUCGGUAACCAGCGGCAACCAUUCGCAACACAUCGCCGGCCAUUCCAGCAGCUCCAGCCUGGCCAGCAGCAGCAACAGCAGCCUCAGCUCCCAGUCGCCAACGUGGAACGAAACCAGGAUCUUUUCUUUGUUCGGCACCCUGCCCAGGAAAGGCAGACGGACCAACGUUCGGAAAAACAUCCUUAAGUUGAUCCCCGGACUGCAACAGGGAUCGGUUGAAGAAGAGGAGCCUUAAAGGGGGCUAAAUGUUGGUUUUCUGGACAUUAUUACAUGUAGAUUCUAAGAAGAAGAGGAGCCUUAGAGAGGGCUAAAAGUCUGUUUUCUGGAUGUUAUUACAUGUCAAUUCUAAGAAGAAGAGGAGCUUUAAAGAAGUAAAAAGUCUGUUUUCUGGACGUUUUUACUUGCCAAAUCUAAGAAGAAGAGAAGACUUCAAGGGGGUUAAAAGUCUGUUUUCUGGAUGUUAUUACAUGUCAAUUCUAAGAAGAAGAGGAGCCUUAAAGGGGGCUAAAAGUCUGUUUUCUAGACGUUAUUACAUGUCAAUUCUAAGAAGAAGAGGAGCCUUAAAGUGGGCUAAAAGUCUGUUUUCUGGAUGUUAUUACAUGUCAAAUAUAAGAAGAGGAGCCUUUAAUGGUGCUGAAAGUGUUUUUUCUGGACGUUUUUCCAUGUUUAAUUCUAAGAAGAGGAGCCUUAAAGGGGGCUAAAAGUCUGUUUUCUGGACGUUAUUACAUGUCAAUUCUAAGAAGAAGAGGAGCCUUAAAGGAGGAUAUAAAAAAAGUAUAUUUUCUGGAUGUUAUUGCUUGUCAUUUCUAAAAAGAAGAGGAGUCUUAAAAGGGGGCAAAAAGUCUGUUUUCUGGACGUUAUUACAUGUCAAUUCUAAGAAGAAGAGGAGCCUUAAAGUGGGCUAAAAGUCUGUUUUCUGGAUGUUAUUACAUGUCAAAUAUAAGAAGAGGAGCCUUUAAUGGUGCUGAAAGUGUUUUUUCUGGACGUUUUUCCAUGUUUAAUUCUAAGAAGAGGAGCCUUAAAGGGGGCUAAAAGUCUGUUUUCUGGACGUUAUUACAUGUCAAUUCUAAGAAGAGGAGCCCUAAAGGAGGAUAAAAAAAAUAAAUUUUCUGGAUGUUAUUGCUUGUCAUUUCUAAAAAGAAGAGGAGCCUUAAAAGGGGCUAAAAGUCUGUUUUCUGGAUGUUGUUAUAUGUCAAUUCUAAGAAGAGGAGCUUUAAAGGGGGCAAAAAGUCUGUUUUCUGGAUGUUAUUACAUGUCACAUUUAAGAAAAAGAGGAGCCUUAAAGUUAGUUCUCUGGGUGUAAUUAACAUGUCAAUUCUAAGAAGAGGAGCCUUAAAGGGGGCUAAAAGUCUGUUUUCUGGACGUUUUUCCUUGCCAAAUCUAAGAAGAAGAGGAGACUUCAAGGGGGUUAAAAGUCUGUUUUCUGGAUGUUAUUACAUGUUAAGUAUAAGAAGAGGAGCCUUUAAUGGUGCUAAAAGUGUUUUUUCUGGACGUUAUUACGUGUCAAUUCUAAGAAGAGGAGCCCUAAAGGAGGAUAAAAAAAGUAUAUUUUGUGGAUGUUAUUGCUUGUCAUUUCUAAAAAGAAGAGGAGCCUUAAAAGGGGCUAAAAGUCUGUUUUCUGGAUGUUGUUAUAUGUCAAUUCUAAGAAGAAGAGGAGCCUUAAAGUGGGCUAAAAGUCUGUUUUCUGGAUGUUAUUACAUGUCAAAUUUAAGAAGAGGAGCCUUUAAUGGUGCUGAAAGUGUUUUUCUGGAUGUUUUUCCAUGUUUAAUUCUAAGAAGAGGAGCCUUAAAAGGGGCUAAAAGUCUGUUUUCUGGAUGUUGUUAUAUGUCAAUUCUAAGAAGAAGAGGAGCCUUAAAGGGGGCUAAAAGUCUGUUUUCUGGACGUUAUUACAUGUCAAUUCUAAGAAGAGGAGCCCUAAAGGAGGAUAAAAAAAAGUAUAUUUUGUGGAUGUUAUUGCUUGUCAUUUCUAAAAAGAAGAGGAGCCUUAAAAGGGGCUAAAAGUCUGUUUUCUGGAUGUUGUUAUAUGUCAAUUCUAAGAAGAAAAGGAGCCUUAUAGGGGUCCAAAGUCAAUUUAAGAAAAAGAGGAGCCCUAAAGUCUGUUCUGUGGAUGUAAUUAACAUGUCAUUUCUAAGAAGAGGAGCCUUAAAGGGGGUUAAAAGUCAAUUUAAGAAAAAGAGGAGCCUUAAAGUCUGUUCUGUGGAUGUAAUUAACAUGUCAUUUUUAAGAAGAGGAGCCUUAAAGGGGGCUAAAAGUCGGUUUUCUGGACAUUAUUACAUGUAGAUUCUAAGAAGAAGGGGAGCCCUAAACGGGGCUAAGAGUCUUUCUGGACGUUAUUACAUGUCAAUUCUAAGAAGAAGAGGAGCCUUAAAGAGGGCUCAAAGUCUGUUUUCUGGAUGUUAUUACAUGUCAAUUCUAAGAAGAAGAGGAGCUUUAAAGAAGUAAAAAGUCUGUUUUCUGGACGUUUUUACUUGCCAAAUCUAAGAAGAGGAGACUUCAAGGGGGUUAAAAUUCUGUUUUCUGGACGUUAUUAUAUUUCAAUUCUAAGAAGAGGAGCCUUAAAGAGGGCUAAAAGUCUGUUUUCUGGAUGUUAUUACAUGUCAAGUAUAAGAAGAAGAGGAGCUUUGAAGGAGUAAAAAGUCUGUUUUCUGGACGUUUUUACUUGCCAAAUCUAAGAAGAAGAGGAGACUUCAAAGAGGUUAAAAGUCUGUUUUCUGGAUGUUAUUACAUGUCAAUUCUAAGAAGAAGAGGAGCCUUAAAGGAGGACAUAAAAAAAGUAUUUUUUUCUGGAUGUUAUUGCUUGUCAUUUCUAAAAAGAAGAGAAGCCUUACAGGGGGCUAAAAGUCUGUUUUCUGGAUGUUAUUACAUGUCAAAUUUAAGAAAGUCUGUUUUCUGGAUGUUGUUACAUGUCAAUUCUAAGAGGAGCCUUAAAGGGGGUUAAAAGUAUGUUCUCUGGAUGUUAUUACAUGUCAAUUCUAAGAAGAGGAGCCUUAAAGGGGGUUAAAAGUCUGUUUUCUGGACGUUAUUACAUGUCAGAUUUAAAAAAAAGAGGAGCCUUAGUCUGUUCUCUGGAUGUAAUUAACAUGUCAAUUCUAAGAAGAGGAGCCUUAAAGGGGGUUAAAAGUGUUUUCUGGAUGUUAUUACAUGUCAAUUCUAAGAAGAAGAAGAGCCUUAAAGGGGGUUGAAAGUCUGUUUUCUGGACGUUAUUACAUGUCAAUUCUAAGAAGAAGAGGAGCCUUAAAGGAGGAUAUAAAAAAAAGUAUAUUUUCUGGAUGUUAUUGCUUGUAAUUUCUAAAAAGAAGAGGAGCCUUAAAAGGUGCUAAAAGUCUGUUUUCUGGAUGUUAUUACAUGUCAAUUCUAAGAAGAAGAGGAGCCUUAAAGAUGGUUAAAAGUCUGUUUUCUGGACGUUUUUACUUAAGAAGAAGAGGAGCCUUAAAGGGGGCUAAAUGUCUGUUUUCUGGAUGUUUUUACAUGUCAAUUCUAAGAAAAAGAGGAGCCUUAUAGGGGUUAAAAGUCAAUUUAAGAAAAAGAGGAGCCCUAAAGUCUGUUCUGUGGAUGUAAUUAACAUGUCAUUUCUAAGAAGAGGAGCCUUAAAGGGGGCUAAAAGUCUGUUUUCUGGACGUUCUUACAUGUCAAUUCUAAGAAGAAGAGCCCUAAAGGGGGUUAAAAGUCUGUUUUCUGGACGUUAUUACAUGUCAAUUCUAAGAAGAAGAGGAGCCUUAAAGGGGUUAAAAGUCUGUUUUCUGGACGUUUUUACUUAAGAAGAAGAGGAGCCUUAAAGGGGGCAAGAAGUCGGUUUUCUGGAUGUUCUUACAUGUCAAUUCUAAGAAAAAGAGGAGCCUUAAAGGGGUUAAAAGUCAAUUUAAGAAAAAGAGGAGCCCUAAAGUCUGUUCUGUGGAUGUAAUUAAACAUGUCAUUUCUAAGAAGAGGAGCCUUAAAGGGGGUUAAAAGUCUGUUUUCUGGACGUUAUUACAUGUCAAUUCUAAGAAGAAGAAGAGCCUUAAAGGAGGAUAAAAAAGUAUAUUUUCUGGAUGUUAUUGCAUGUCAAUUUUAAGAAGAAGAGGAGCCUUAAAAAGGGCUAAAAGUCUGUUUUCUGGAUGUUAUUACAUGUCAAUUCUAAGAAGAAGAGGAGCUUUAAAGGCGGAUAAAAGUCUGUUUUCUGGACGUUAUUAUAUUUCAAUUCUAAGAAGAAGAGGAGCCCUAAAAGGGGUUAAAAGUCUGUUUUCUGGACGUUAUUGCAUGCAAAUCCUAAAGAGUGGAUGACGUGUCAUCACAGUAUGUACACAUACUGCCUUCUGAAGACAGUUUCUGUGAGACUGGUGGGAAGGACUCGCGUGCGUUCGUUGUUUCUGGACAAAAGUGACAUCGCCAUCUCCUGGGCCGGCAUGCACAUUACAUGUCAUGCAUCCACAUGAGCCACACCAAGCACUCACCACCGUAGUGAAGAUUUGCCAAGUUUUUGUCACUAAGUGUUACAAAUACGUUCAAUUUGAAUCGGAGGGUUGGGUAGGAGGCCGUGCCAGCAACUUGAGGGUUCCAGGUUCGAUUCCCGCCCCCGCCACGCUAGUCACUGCCGUCGUGAACUCGGGCAAGACACUUUAGGGCCAAACAGAGUUUUAAAUGUAACUUAGAUCUGGGGUUUCACUCUGUAAAACGCUAUGUAAAUACAAUUCACUUCACUUGGAAUGUGCACCGAAUAUAACUUCAUUUGUAAAAUAUCGUGCGAGCUUGAGAAAUUGAAAUAAAACAUUUCCUGCCCGUGA